UACAGAGAAAGAGAAGAUCAGCAUGGCCCCUGUGCAAGGAUGAUGCACAAAUUCGUGGAGCAUUACAAAUGGUC
rnacentral:snRNA from 1 species